UACGUAGGGUGCGAGCGUUGUCCGGAAUUACUGGGCGUAAAGAGCUUGUAGGCAGUUUGUCGCGUCGUCUGUGAAAUCUCACAGCUCAACUGUGAGCUUGCAGGCGAUACGGGCAGACUUGAGUACUUCAGGGGAGACUGGAAUUCCUGGUGUAGCGGUGAAAUGCGCAGAUAUCAGGAGGAACACCGGUGGCGAAGGCGGGUCUCUGGGAAGUAACUGACGCUGAGAAGCGAAAGCAUGGGUAGCGAACAGG
rnacentral:rRNA from 1 species